GUUAUGGACAAUUAAUUUAGUAUCGUGAGUCACAAUCUCCUACAAGACUAGCAAUACCGCUUCUAACACAGAUCAGCAACAAGUUAGCUAUACGGAUAGGUCCACGUCAACGACCGAUUGCUGCGAUAUCAAUCGAAGUGAUAAAUUCAGGCGUGCGACUUAAAAAGGUCCUUGCCAGGGUCCAAUCAAGGUAAAAAGGCAUGUGAAGAAGAUAUUCAUUUGCAUCAGUGGUAAAUUUGGUAAAACUUUUUUAGGUAGCGGAAAUAUCUCUCUCGAUUCACCCGCUUCUCUUCGAUCCCUUAGACAACAAUGGCACAGCCUUAACGCCGUGUACGCAUUGGUGGACUGUAUAAAUUUUACCCGAAAUUAUUGGCCUACUUCAUCCAAUCGCUGCGAAAACGAAGUGACUUUGCCAAGCCAUUGCGGUGUGGGUACACAGUGUGUUAUUGUUUCGUCAGAAGGUCGAGGCUGACACUAUGGAGCUUUCCACUGGUGUGGUAAAGGCGCACAUGAAUCACGAUUAAUUGAUUGAUUGUUGAAUGCCCCUCCUGGGUCGACUGCAAAUAUUAUGAUCGACUACAUCAUGUAUCGACGUAUAACAAACGGGACCUUAGGAUCAGACAUCAAAGUCCUAUGGGCCGGAAUCCUCAGUUGGUGAGAUUUCGAUCACUGUCACGGAUUCGGUGACAGCAUACGACCAGCCUGUCUCUAAGCAGGCCCCCACAACAAGCGUAAAGGCACCACAAAGCGAAUCCGUGAAGCUUACUCCGCCUACAAGCAAAUCGAAAAAGGGUCCUUCAGCCAAAAUUUACGACGAGCAAUCUGCAAUAAAACCUGUUCCACAACAACAACCAGCGGCUGCGGGCUCUGAUUUGGAAAAAUUUCGACACGGUUGUGGAUGUAUGAGCGGAAAACUGAAAUUCGAGCGCGCACGAGGGAUUUUGAGAACUAGAAGAAACAACAUGUGUUGCACUGGCUGUUCUAUAGCGUAGAUUAAAUAGGUUACCGCCAAGUUACCGUAGUAGAAAAUCGUUUUGGAUAGUCUACAGCCGAGCCAAUGAAGGCAACUAGAAUAGAUAACUAAAUGAAUUCGACUAGUCUAUUCGUGGUCUAGGUUAUUAAACAAUUUUCGGUAGCUUCGAUUCAAUAAGUUUGAACUUCAAGUGACUAUACGGGGUAAUUUUAACAUCAGUAAGUCUCAGGCUUGCGUCGUAUGUAAAAUGCUAGCUAGACAAUUUCUAAGAUCAGAAACAAGAAAAGGCGUGAAUCCAAUGGAUAACUAGUACAGUUUGAAAACGCAGCUAACGAGUUUCACUGCUGUGGUAACUGUGUUUUAGUGAACAUCACACAUUCUUUUUAUAAUCAAUGUUGGCACCAUAGAGAGUAGCACCGAUGCUUGUGUUUGUCAGUGUUAAUGAUGAAUGUUUAUUUCGAUUUGACGGAUUCAGCUCGAAAUUUAUUAAAUUUCGUACUACUGAGUACUCGACAAAUGUGGAGAUCAAGAAUACAGACAGUGUUAGAAGGACAAACAUUAAAAAGACAGUGCCCAAACAAAUGAUCAUGGAUUGUGAUGUUCUGGGCUUUGUGUAUAACUCUCUUAAGUUUUAAACCCGUAAAAUGCUCUGUAUCCAGGCCCGAAAGCUUUUUAAGCCCUCUUAAAAACGUUUCAAGCCUCAGCUGUUAAGCGUGCUUCUACGUCGCGCCGUGCUGGGGAAGAACAUAAUAAGUACUUCUACGCAUUAACUUGUCAAACAAUUUCACCAACUGUUUCCACAAAGUAUCAAUAAACACCUGAAUAGGCAAGAUCAAGGAAACUCGUUUUUGGCAGGAUUUCUGAUCCUUAAACAGGAAGGAGAUAUCAAAGGUUCCGAGUCAUCUUUAGGCCAAGCUUUAACAUUGCAUAAGUUUCUGCGAGCCUACUCUAUUAAUUCCAUUGAACUACACGGUUACAUAACAGUAAAUAGCAGUUUUCAAUAAAUAAUUAAACUCUUUGCGUGAGUGAUUCCGUUUUGUGCAACUCCGUUUGGCCUGUUCGAAUGAUUUGUUGUCCUGCUGACCCUGUCAAUUCAUAGGUCGACGUCGAAAGACACCGUAGACACCACAAAAAAUAACAAGUAAAAUACCAGUGAAUAUCUGACUGCGCGUUCCGCGGUAGAACACAGGUGAGAGCUUAGAACAGUUACGAAGAUGGUGCAAUCUAUUUCAGAGAUCACGAAACAAAUGUCCGUAUACUUCGUGCUAGAAAGCUAUAGAUAACACUAGAUCCACAUCAUCUUCCACGAUCGCCUAGGUUCCGACAGCAUUUGCGUCUACUGGAAAAAUUGCAACAGUGCUAUCCGUCAACCUGAAACUUCCUAGGUUUAUUGAGUAGCCAAGCUGAAGUGCUUCUCUUGGUGAAAGCAUUGGAUCUACAGAACAAAUGGCUUACCAAUAAAUGACUAC